rnacentral:rRNA from 1 species
UACGUAGGGCGCAAGCGUUAUCCGGAAUUAUUGGGCGUAAAGAGCUCGUAGGCGGUUUGUCGCGUCUGCCGUGAAAGUCCGGGGCUCAACUCCGGAUCUGCGGUGGGUACGGGCAGACUAGAGUGAUGUAGGGGAGACUGGAAUUCCUGGUGUAGCGGUGAAAUGCGUAGAUAUCUGGAGGAACACCGGUGGCGAAGGCGG